rnacentral:lncRNA from 1 species
UCUUUUUAGCCAUGGCUUCCGAUGGAAGCAGCCCGUCGCCACCUACACCUGCUGCGCCUACCACAACGUACGUUACGGUUCCUAGUCUCCGUGAUCCUGGGACAUUCUCCGCCCAAAAUGACGUUGACGUCGACGACUGGCUCGGCAUGUUUGAGCAUUUGUGCGGCAAUAAAUUGCAAACCUUGGCAUCCCUACCGCCUGCUCUGUCUCCCGACCUGAUUCGGCACCCAUUCCCAUGUCCACAACCUGUAAUGACCAGUA